CACGAAGCAAAUUGAGCUAAUUUAACACAGUCUGUUAGGACUGUAGUAUGUUGCAUAAUAUAUUAUAUGUUGAUUUUAAAUUAGGAGUGAUAUUCUUCACACAUUUUGCGAUAUCUUGAUGCUUCCGACAAGUAUUUAGUACAAUUACAAUUAAUAAGCGCUUAGGUUUAUUAAAAAUAUUAACAAUUAUUAAUAUUUAUUGUUUUAUAUAAUAAUUAACUACUACAUUAUUUUAAUAUUAUUAUAUAUUAUUUAUAUAGAUUAGGUUGCAAUAAUAAUUGAUCUAGCAAUUUAUAAUGUUAUUAUAAGUAAUAAAUAGAUACUAUAAAUGAACUCGGCACUCAUCUUUCAACUGUUUAUCAAAAACAUAGUUAUCAGAAAGUGUUGAUAAUUUAUUCUGCUCAAUGAAUAAUUAAAUAGCCGCAGUACCCUGACUGUGCAAAGGUAGCAUAAUCAUUUGGCUUAUAAUUGAAGUCUUGUAUGAAGGAAAUGAUGGGGGAUGACUAUAUCAUAAGUAUAAUAUUAAAUUAAUCAAAAAGUGCAAAUGCUUUUUUUCAAUUAAUAGACGAGAAGACCCUUGAAAUUUUAAGAAUAUGAAAAUAAUAGUUUUUGUUGGGGCAACAAUGUAACAGGCAACUUACAUUUAUUACAAGAAAUAAUAAUAGGCUGAUAAAAUUACUCUAGGGAUAACAGCGUAAUAUUUAAAUGUUUGCGACCUCGAUGUUGGACUAGGGAACAAUAACCUAG
rnacentral:rRNA from 1 species